AAACAGACACGUUUGGUCCUAGCCUUUCUGUUAACUCUAGUAAGAUUACACGUGCAAGUAUCCCCACUCCGGUGAAAUCAUCCUCUAAAUCGCUAUGAUCAAAAGGAGUAAGUAUCAAGCACGCAUUAAUGCAGCUCAAAACACUUUGCUCAGCCACAUCCCCACGGGAAACAGCAGUGAUAAACCUUUAGCAACAAACAAAAGUUUAAGCUAUACUAACACUUAGGGUUGGUUAAUUUCGUGCCAGCCACCGCAGCCCAUAUGAUUAGCCAUAUGAUUAACUCGAGCUAAUAGAGACCGGCGUAAAGAGUGUUUUAGAAUUACUCUCAAUAAAGCUAAAUUUCAUCUCAAUUGUAAAAAAUCCUAGCUGAUAUAAAAUAAACUACGAAAGUGGCUUUAAUAUCUCUGAACACACAAUAGCUAAGAUCCAAACUGGGAUUAGAUACCCCGCUAUGCUUAGUCCUAAACUUCAUUAGUUAAAUUAACAAAACUACUCACCAGAAUACUACAAGCAAUAGCUUAAAACUCAAAGGACCUGGCGGUGCUUCACAUCCCUCUAGAGGAGCCUAUUCUAUAACCGAUAAACCCCAAUCCACCUCACCACCUCUUGCUCAGCCUAUAUACCGCCAUCUUCAGCAAACUCUAGUAAAGGCCACAAAGUAAGCACAAAUACACACAUAAAAAAGUUAGGUCAAGGUGUAGCCCAUGAGAUGGUAAGAAAUGGGCUACCUUUUCCACCCCAGAAAAUUUCACGAUAGCCCUUAUGAAAUCUAAGGGCAAAAGGAGGAUUUAACAGUAAAUUAAGAGCAGAGUGCUUAAUUGAAUAAGGCCAUAAAGCAUGCACACACCGCCUGUCACCCUCCUCAAGUAUAUUUAAAGAUUAACUUAACUAAAUUCCCUUCGUAUUUAUAUAGAGACGAUAAGUCGUAACAUGGUAAGUGUACUGGAAAGUGCACUUGGAUGAAUCAAGGU
rnacentral:ncRNA from 1 species